GGGUUAGUAGGUUGGUCAUGCCUCUAGUAUGUACUGGUCUCACUGAUUCCUCCUUCCUUAUGAACCGUAAUGCUAUUAAUUUGGUGUUGCGGGAAAUUUGGACUGUUACUUUGAAAAAUUAGAGUGUUUAAAGCAAGCUAACGCUUGAAUACAUUAGCGUGGAAUAAUGAAAUAGGACGUUCGAUCUUAUUUUGUUGGUUUCUAGGAUUGACGUAAUGAU
rnacentral:rRNA from 1 species